rnacentral:rRNA from 1 species
UACGUAGGGGGGCGAGCGUUGUCCGGAAUCAUUGGGCGUAAAGCGCGUGUAGGCGGCCCGGUAAGUCCGCUGUGAAAGUCCAGGGCUCAACCCUGGGAUGCCGGUGGAUACUGUCGGGCUCGAGUCCGGAAGAGGCGAGUGGAAUUCCUGGUGUAGCGGUGAAAUGCGCAGAUAUCAGAAGGAACACCGGUGGCGAAGGCGGGUCUCGUGGGCCGAUGACUGACGCUGAGGAGCGAAAGCGUGGGGAGCGAACAGG